UACGUGGGGGGCGAGCGUUGUCCGGAAUCAUUGGGCGUAAAGAGCGUGUAGGCGGCCCGGUAAGUCCGCUGUGAAAGUCGGGGGCUCAACCCUCGAAUGCCGGUGGAUACUGUCGGGCUAGAGUGCGGAAGAGGCGAGUGGAAUUCCUGGUGUAGCGGUGAAAUGCGCAGAUAUCGGGAGGAACACCAGUAGCGAAGGCGGCUCGCUGGGCCACACCUGACGCUGAGACGCGAAAGCUAGGGGAGCGAACAGG
rnacentral:rRNA from 1 species